ensembl:lncRNA
CUUCACCUGUGCUCCUGCAGGAGUGUGAGGCUUAGCAGGAGGAGCAGGCUUGUGAAGCUGAUUCCCUGUGGUUGAUGAAGUCUCAGUAAAGCUGCUGGUGCCAUAAAAGAUUAUCUUUGGUUACUUACCCAAGUGAGGAAGCCUCUUCUGCUAGCUGCAUUCUUUUGUAUAUAUCCAGGAUAUGGGCAUCACAAGAUGCGGAUGGUUGCAAGAACUGUGGCAAGGUUAACGUAAGCUUCACUCUGCCUUCGGAAUUCCAUCUUGUGUUACACAGAUCUGUGAAGUUGCCUGUGGAGACUUAGGAAACUUGGAACAUUUUCAGUUUCACUUGAAAAAUGUGCUACUAUUCUUCAAUCCAUUGACCUAUGGAGGAAAGUAGUGAUGAAUGGAGAGGCAAGAUGAAUGAGGUGGGAUGGAUCUAAACUGCUCUAGCUGAAACAGAAGAGAGAUUAAAGGAGACCCAGAGGAGAGAUCCACAGCCAGAUUUAGCCUAUUUCCACCAACCAGAGACUAGCAUUUCCUGAGGUUCUACUAUACACCAGCCACUAAGCCAGUUGUGUAUCAAGGCUGGGGAGCAGCUCAGUGG